rnacentral:tRNA from 1 species
GCAUCUGUGGUUGAGUGGUAGAAUUCUCGCCUGCCACGCGGGAGGCCCGGGUUCGAGUCCCGGCCGAUGCA